rnacentral:rRNA from 28 species
CGCGACCCCAGGUCAGGCGGGGC